UUAGUGAGCCCUCCAAAACUUUGCAGAUUGGAAUACUGGAGUACUUUAUUCGACAGGAAAAGGUGUGAAAAGAGGAUCAGUCCUUCAACUAAGACAAUCUUUCUAACUUUUUUUUUCACCUAGGUUGUCUUCCAGAAGUAAGCUAAGAAAAGAUAUUUCUGCAGUAUGAAGCUACUUCAGCUAUUAAUCUAACAUGCACUGAAGACUACAGGCUGUCUGGAAGCUGAGGAAGGUUGUUUACGUGCAGUAUGGGUCAGCAGUCUUGCAGACAUCUACAGGAAGCAUCGCACUCGCAGGCUCUGAUCCUACUGGGGAACUUCAAUAACAUCCUCUGCAAAAAACAGCACAGCAAGCAGUAAACAGUCCAGGAGACUCUUGGAUUGCACUGAGGAUAAUUUCUUUAUCCAGGUGAUAGACAGCCCAACAAGAGGAGAAGAAUUUCCAGCAUAAUAAUAAUAAGGGCUUCUGCAGUUUUUGCCACAAUGCAGGUCUUUUAGAAAUUACAGAUUACUGGAGAAACAAUACAAUUCGUGGAAUCAAGCCUGACCAGAGCAGCUGGAUUUAUGUGCAUCGUGAAAUUCCUGAGGUCACAUUAUCCAUAUGAGAAUGGAGCUCCCAAAAUACCCACUAACAUCAUAUGGGAACUAUGAGGUGCUUUGGAAGCAGGAGUUUCAGGUAAGAUCUUCAUCACUUAUGCACCUCACAAUCAUCGUGCUGUACUCAUCCUGAGGCCUGUGCAAUAUUGUAUAGUGACAUUGUCCUACUGCCCAACACAGCAGGAUAGGUGAUAAUGCAAUGGAGAAAACCCAGCUCUCAGUCUUGGAGACAAAAGUGUAACCAACAACCAAAACCUUUCACCUGUCUACAGGAGAUGAACCAAACCCUGUUCAGAUUACAUUUACCUCCCCAAAACUGCAGAUCUCUGUCCCAUACCCAUCCCUCUCAUCCUCCUAAGUCUCCAAGGAUACAUAAGAAGAGGUGCAUGUGGUGUUUUUAUGUAUCUGUGUAUACAGAAAAAAGGCAAAGUUCAUGAGAUAAUUAUGUCAAGUUCUGACAGGUCUCCUAAAAUUCACAAAUCCCUAAAUUUUUACAAUUCUAAGAUCUCCAGUUUUAAUGUGCAGAUGCUGGAUGAGAAUCACAGCUUUAAUGGAGGGAAAGAAGGAGGAGCUGCAGAUGUGGUGAGAGAGCCAUCGUGUCUGUUAGUUUAAGAAGUCUUGCAACUUCGUGAAAGAAGCUCAGAAUUCAUGAUUUUGAACAUCUGGAGUGGGCCAAAUGAUCCAUCUCUCCUCUUCAUCUCUUGUCAAGGCAACAACUUGUUUAUCUUAUUGUCUUAUCAAUAUUGUCUUACCGCACCCUAUGCCUGCUUGUGCAGCAUUUUCCCACACUGGUUUGUCCUCUAGGCACAUCUUCCCAUGGUUCCACCACAAACCACUGUCUCAUACAUUGUUCAUCAUAUUCACUGACAGGUCCCCUGGGAGAAAACCUUUUUUUCUUAAAAGAUGUGUGUUCUUAAUUUACUUUAAUGGUUUACUUUUUAAAUUACUGUAAUAUCUAUAGACUGCACUGAUAGGUGUGUUGUGUUAGGUGCUGUACAAAUGUAGACAGAGUCCUUCAAAGAGCUUGAAACUGAAACAGUGCAGUAUAAUAUUCAUCAGCAGAUCUGCCAGCAAAUCCAAACUUGUUUAAACCUGAGCCCUUCUAAAUAGGAGACAUAAAGUUCUAGAUAGGAGACAUAAAGUUCUAGAUAGAAGACAUAAAGGCCUGAGGAGGUAAUCAAAGCCAGAAAACACCAACAUCAAGGAUGAUUAGUCCCUUGUGAGGCUUGAUCAUACAUACAGCAGUGCAGCAGGGUCUUUCCUCGAUUUCAAAUGCAGUGACGGGAGUGGUGCUUGCCUGAUAAACUGCACAGAUAGGAGAAGAGAGGAAGCAGGAACAGAAGCAACUGCACAGAAAUGCUGUGCAGUUUCAGGGACAGAACUUGUUGAUGGCAACUAAGCAAACUUGGAAGUUGUAAGAAAAAAAAACCUCUCUGAGCCAGCGUAUUGAUCUAGUGACAAACAGCUUUUAUUCUUGUUACCUGUAGUAAUUAGGACUGCAGUGGACACACCAGUUGAUUCCUCCUCCUAAUGAAAAUGAAGUUCUAAAGCCUGAAAGAAUGGUCAGCCAGCCAGGAUGAUAGACAAUGCAGACCAGCCUGAUAAUAAAGUGUUAUGACUUUAAAUAUGGAAUUUAAAAGGUAUUAGCUAUCUUUCACAUUACUGUCAAUCAAUUACUGGUUUUGUGACUAUCCUGGUGGCCUUCUACAAUGGUGUGACUGUGUUGGUGGAUUAGAGAAGAGCAAUUGAUGUCAUCUACCUUGACCUAUGUAAGGCUUUUGGUAUAGUCCCAUACAACAUCCUUGCCUCUAAAUUAGAGAGAUAUGAGUUUGAUGCAGGAUUGGUGUACUCAUCCGUUCUGUUGCUUGUGAGUACACAAGUGUCAUGGCUCCGGAUAAGAGACUGAGGUUGAGCAAUGGUAUCAAAAAUCAUGCACGUGACGAAACUGCAUCUUGCCAUGUAUUAAAUCUGUUCAAACUGCAGGGGAUAAGUUCCCGUCAAGGAUUCGUGAUUCACUCCAUUUUCUUUCUCUAGACCAUAUCACUGAGAAGGCUAUCCUUUCAGCACAAAAAGUAAAGGGGAUCAGAUAUAGUUUAGACUUUGGAAAUAACAAGCUGUUUGAGAACAUGAAGUUUUAUACUCUCGAUUCACUUGUUAGGAAACUGAGUUGUUUGCAAAUGUUCUCACCCACUACUAGUAUAAAGCCUGAGCUUGCUAGUAGAAAAGACAUGGUACUCUUUCAAGUACUUUCAUCACCUGUCUGUUAAAAAACUUCAUGUCAGCAUCUAUUUAAAUGGUUGUCUUUCAGAGAAGAAAACCUGAAAAAAAAACCCCUCCUUUUUAGGACUGUAGUGUUGGCUUGAACUUCUUCAUGUGUGUUAUGUUUUUUGGAAGAGUAUGGCUUAAUUGCUCAAGAGAUCUGACAUGUUGAACUCCAUUUUAAGACAUGGAGACUUUCAGAUGAUGACAUUCUUGUGUUUUUUUCGUGUGCAGGAGAAGCUGUCUUUAGAGAGUCAUGAAAAUUGAGAGGCGUCUUGGUAUUUGCUGUUUUAUUUUGUCUUUCCUGGGUUAUUGUUCAGCACUAUCUGAACUUCUCUGAGUAAGACAGAACCCUCUUGAUAGAUUCUUCAGGCUGGUUUCAUUCCAGGAUGUGUCUUUUAAAAACCGAGUAAAAGGAAAAUUAUAUAUACUGGAUGGUAAAUCAGACAGACAGACAUAAAGAACUGCUGCUGCAAAAUAAUUCAGUGUUAUUUGUAAUCCAGUUCCAAACUACUCAGAAAUAUGUGCUAAUUUUUUAUGUUAAUGACAUAUCUAUAUGUAAACCUACUUUGUAAUUAUUUUUUUCUUGCUAAGAUAUGCACAUCUUUUCUGUGGAAAUGUUUUAUAGGCUUUUAAAAACUGAAGGAAACUCUUUGAUCAUAUAUUCUUCUGUCCUCUGGCUCAAGUGACAUUCUUCAACUCUGUUACAUAUGGUUGCAUUGGGCCCCCUUCUACACAACUGGUUUGUAACACUAAAAUCCUGUCAGAAAUUUCUGCGUUUUUUCAUGUGAACUUAUCACAUAGAGAGAUGGCAAAAUUGUUCAUAGGAAAAAGUUAACAGCCAUAGACCUUCAUUUAUCUGAGGCUUCAUUCUACCACUUCUCAUAACAAGUUGGAUAUAAUUCAACAAAUAGCUCUUCUGGAGUCACUAGAACUAUUUGAAUUAGAAGUUACUAAUCAAUACACAUAUCCCAGUAUGCAUAUUCUAGCCUCUGUUUAAAUCAUCUGUGGCUUUUUAUUGGUUUGAGGAUCUCCUACUUGAUGUUUCAGGUCUCAGAUCUUCAAGAAGGUCACAGUCUUGCAUAAAACCUGCUAUUCAGCAAAGGAUACAUAGCAUGAUCUAACCAGUUGCAGACUACUCAUCGUUGUUCACCAUUACUCUUGCCGGAGAUUUAACAACCUGACUUCUUGCUAGAGUACUUAACUGUACUGCAAGAGGUUAUGGAUUAACUAUAUGAGCACUUAAGCUUAGAAUCUAAAUGGACUGGUAGCCUGUACCUAAAUGGAGUGAUUAAGUACAGAUUGUCUCAACCUGGAAGGCAGUUGAGACAAAGAGUGGCAAUAACUCUGUAACAGUAAGUUAAUGAGCAUCUGUAAUUUUAGACUGAGCUUUGUACUCCUCUGGAUUCCUUGUGGGGAUAUGUGAACCUCAUAAGGUUCAACAAAGCCAAGUGCAAGGUUCUGCAGCUGGGUUGGGCCAACCCCUGGUAUCAAUACAGGCUGGAGGAUGAAGGGAUUGAGCAGCUGCAUGGAGGAGUACUUGGGAGUGCUGGUGAAUGAAAAGCUGGACAUGGGCCAGCAAUGUGCACUUGCUACCCAGAAAUUCAACUGUAUCCUGGGCUGAAUAAAAAGUGUGGCCAGCAGGUUGAGGGA